rnacentral:lncRNA from 10 species
CCUGUCCAGGCGCUGGAGAGCCGCCGAGCUGCAGCUGAUGCUCCGGGAAGAUGUGAUUUCCAAGCCCUGAACUGCAAGAUCUCCAGGCACCCUGGCUCCAGGACAAGAAGGCGCUGCAAGGAUAGGCUGAUUCCCCAGGGGUGCUGGGCAUGAACUCAGUCCCAGGGCAGGAUCUUUAGCCUCUAUCUGCUGCUUCCCACCUGCCCUGCAAGAAUGACCCAGCCAAUGCUGCCUUUUGUGGAGGUGGGUUUUGGGAACCCCAGAAACCACCUCAUGUCUCUGAAUGUCUUCCCAGCAGAUGGGCCACUGCCAGAGAAGAUUCAACCAUUAGUGAUGCAUUUGUUUGAGUAAAACUCUGGACCCCAUCCAAAGGCAGAUGUUCCUGGAAGGCAUCCUGCUGGGAAUGUCCUGAGUUGAAUGGCUCAGUGUGACAUUGAGAAUGGGGGUUAAGACCCUGGAAUACAUAAUGGGCCCUGGGAUGGCUCUGAAGCUGAAGAAGAUGCAGUAAGCAGGGUACGGUCCCCAGCUUAAUUUUAUUGUGGCAAAAUGGUCCGAGCACAGUGGCUCAUGCCGGUAAUCCCAACAGUUUGGGAGGCCGAGGUGGGCGGAUCACCUGAGGUCAGGAGUUCGAGACCAGCCUGGACAACAUGGCAAAAACCUGUCUCUACUAAAAAUGAAAAAAUUAGCCAGGCAUGGUAGCGCAUGCCUGUAAUCCCAGCUACUCAGGAGGCUGAGGUAGGAGAAUCACUUGAACCUGGGAGGUGGAGGGUGCAGUGAGCUGAGAUCACACAACUGCACUCCAGCCUGGGCAACAGAGUGAGACUCCAUCUCAAAAAAAAAAAAAAAAAAGAAAAAAAUCAGCUGGGCACGAUGGCUCAUGCCUGUAAUCCCAGCACUUUGGGAGACCGAGGUGGGCAGAUCACCUGAGGUUGGGAGUUCGAGGCCAGCCUGAUCAACAUGAACAAACCUCGUCUCUACUAAAAAUACAAAAUUAGCUGGGUGUGGUGAUGCAUGCCUGAAAUCCCAGCUACUGGGGAGGCUGAGGCAGGAGGAUCGCUUGAACCCGGGAGGCAGAGGUUGCGGUGAGUCAAGAUCAUGCCAUUGCACUCCAGCCUGGGCAACAAGAGAGAAACUCCAUCUCAAAAAAAAAAAAAGCACAUAACACAAAAGUUACCAUUUUAACCAUUUCUUAGUGUGCUGCAUGCCUGUAAUCCCAGCUACUCAGGAGGCUGAGGCAGGAGAAUUGCUUGAACCCAGCAGGUGGAGGUUGCAGUGAGCCAAGAUCAUGUCAUUGCACUCCAGCCUGGGUGACAGAGCGAGACUCUAUCUCAAAAAAAAAAAAUGCACAUAACACAAAAGUUACCAUUUUAACCAUUUCUUAGUGUACAAUUCUCUGGCUUUUGGUAUAUUCACAAGAUGCACGUACAGCCAGCACCACUUUCUAGUUUUGGAACAUUUUCAUCACCCCAAAAGGAAACUCAUACCCAUGAAGCUGUCACUCCUCCUUCCUCCCUUCCCGCAGCCCCUGGAAACCAUCCAUCUGUUUAUCUGCUUCCUGGGGGACAUCUCAUUCGUCCCGGGUGGCCUCUACGUUGUGUUGCUUCUUGCCCCUUCUCGAAGCAGAGCCCUGAGGCCUCCUGGAUUUGGGAAUCUCCAGGGCUAUCAUGAUGGUUGGCAGGGCUGUUACGUACAGGUGUAUAGGUUGUAACCUGCACAACUCUGUGGAACAGUCCUGGUCAUGGGAGCAGCUUUGACUGAGCAGAGGCUGAGUCUGAGGCAGUCUGACCCAGGGGGCUACACAGCCAGGACCCACCCACCUUGACCCCCAGCCGGGCACCCAAGUCCAUUCACUUCACAAAGACUUCUGGGCUCCACCAACUGCUACAUGAAGCCCAAAGGAGAGAAUGGAACACAGCGGGAG